rnacentral:rRNA from 1 species
UACGAACCGUCCAAACGUUACUCGGAAUCACUGGGCUUAAAGGGUGCGUAGGCUGCGCGGAGGGUGGGAUGUGAAAUCCCCCGGCUCAACCGGGGAAUAGCGUCCCAAACCGCCGUGCUCGAGGGAGACAGAGGUGAGCGGAACUGAUGGUGGAGCGGUGAAAUGCGUUGAUAUUAUCAGGAACACCAGUGGCGAAGGCGGCUCACUGGGUCUUUCCUAACGCUGAGGCACGAAAGCUAGGGGAGCGAACGGG